rnacentral:rRNA from 1 species
GACGAACGCUGGCGGCGUGCCUAAUACAUGCAAGUAGAACGCACAGUUUAUACCGUAGCUUGCUACACCAUAGACUGUGAGUUGCGAACGGGUGAGUAACGCGUAGGUAACCUGCCUGGUAGCGGGGGAUAACUAUUGGAAACGAUAGCUAAUACCGCAUAAUAUUGAUUAUUGCAUGAUAAUUGAUUGAAAGAUGCUAUUGCAUCACUACCAGAUGGACCUGCGUUGUAUUAGCUAGUAGGUGAGGUAACGGCUCACCUAGGCGACGAUACAUAGCCGACCUGAGAGGGUGAUCGGCCACACUGGGACUGAGACACGGCCCAGACUCCUACGGGAGGCAACAGUAGGGAAUCUUCGGCAAUGGACGAAAGUCUGACCGAGCAACGCCGCGUGAGUGAAGAAGGUUUUCGGAUCGUAAAGCUCUGUUGUAAGAGAAGAACGGGUGUGAGAGUGGAAAGUUCACACUGUGACGGUAUCUUACCAGAAAGGGACGGCUAACUACGUG